AAUUACUUAUUUUAUACUUUAGGAGGAAGUCAAGAAGGAGAUGUGACCUAUGUGAGACCGUGCUCUGGAGAAGAGAGACAGCAUCAACAGCCGGACAUCUUUACAUGUAAAUGAUUCAUCAGAAGCAAAAAUUUGGAAUCAGAGAAGACAAGGAGAAAUGUAGUCAUCUCCCCACCCCAACACACUUAGGGCUUAACUUGGGAGUGGUUGGGGGCAUGCGAAUCAACUAAGAUAAAAGACAAGGAUGAACGGAUGGAUGUGUGAAAGGAAAAUAAAUCUUGGAGCCCCCAAAUCACUAAGCUAAAGGGAAAAGUCAAGCUGGGAACUGCUUAGGGCCAACCUGCCUCCCAUUCUACUCAAAGUCACCCCUCUGCUCACUGACACAGAUGCAUAUCUGAUUGCCUCCUUCGGAAAGGCGAAUCAGAAACUCAAGAGAAUGCAAUCAUUUGUGCCUCACCUGUUUGUGACCUGGAAGCCUCCUCUCUGCUUCAAGUCUUCCUAGCUUUGCUUCAAGUUGUCCCGCCUUUCCAGACCGAAACAGUGUACUUCUUACAUAUGUUGUUUGAUGUCUCGUGUCUCCCUAAAAUGUAUAAAACUAAGCUGUGACCGAGCACCUUGGGCAUAUGUUGUCAGGACUUCCUGAGGCUGUGUCACGGGCACAUCCUCAACUUUGGCAAAAUAAACUUUCUAUAUUAACUGAGAUCUGUCUCAGAUUUUCUGGGUUCGUAGAUUGACAGGGAAUUUUUUUUUUUUUUUUUUUUUUUGAGACAGGGUCUGGCUUUGUCACCCAGGCCAGAGUGCAGUGGUGCAAACUCAGCUCACUGCAACCCCUGUCUCCUUGGCUCAAGUCAUCCUCAGACCUCAGCCUCCUGAGUAGCUGGGACAACAGACACGUGCCACCACUCCCGGCUAAUUUUUUUUUUGUAUUUUUUGUAGAGAUGGGGCUUCACCAUGUCGCCCAGGCUGGUCUCCAACUCCUGAGCUCAAGCGAUCCGCCCACCUUGGCCUCUCAAAGUGCUGGGAUUACAGGUGUGAGUCACUGUGCCCGGCCAGCAUUUCAUUGUCUUUUAUGACAUUGCCAUUUUUGAAAAAACAGUCCCUUUAAAAAAAAAAAAAAACUAGAAUGUUCCUUAUUUUGAGUUUGUCUGAUACUUCCUCAUGAUUAGUUUCAGAGUAUGAAUUCUGGCCAGAAUAGCACAUUAGUGAUGUUGUCCUCAGGGAGUCACACCUAGAAGCAUAUAAUCUGUGUGUCAAAUGCCCCUUAUUUGUGAUGUCAAUUUUGAUCUGCUGGUCAAGGUAUUGUCUGAGUUGUUCAAAUGAUAGUAGUUUUUUUCUCUGAUUCCUAAUAAGCAAUCUAUGGGAAGAUAUCAUAAGGUCAUCCAAAUAUCCUGCUCCUCAUCAAAAAUUUAUCUCUGGAUUUAGCAUCUAUUGAUAAUUUUUGCCCAAAUGAAUCAAUAUUUACUGUGUUGGCAGAAAAAAAAAUGAAGAUUUUCCAGUUCAAUUACUCUUUUCACAUUUACAAUUCAGCACUUGGCAUUCUUGCAUAAGCAAGACCUCUUCUUUCUUUACAUAUUUAUCUACAUGUUAUUAGCAUGGACUAAUGAAAUUACUAGGUUUUUUUGUUUGUUUUUUCCCAAUGGUUGGCGCUCAAAUUGUCCUAUAUUUGAUGAAUGGGAGCCCCUUCAAGCUGGCUCCUAUGUUCUCGUGUCAUGCCCUAUCAUUUUGAGCAGUUCCUUACUCUUUGACCUAAUAAGUUGCUUCAGGCUCACCUUGUACCUUUUCUGGCCCACCCAUUUCGUCCAAGAGCCUUUGAAGAAAGGCUCUUUACUAGGGAAUGGUGUCAGAAUCCAACAUCUGAGUUCUAAGUCCUAAUAAUGUUUUAAGGAUAGAUUCUUAGGAUUAUAAUUUUUUUUUUUUUUUGGUCAGAGUAUAGUUUUGGAGAUUCUUUAUAUAUAUCACCAAACUGCUUCCUGGAAAUGUACUGAUUUAUUCUCCUACCUGCAGUGCAUAAGAACGCACUUCUCUUUCCAUGCUCACUAACAUUACCUUUUUCCUAACUUUUCAGGUAGAAAAGUAUAUCAUAAUUUUUGUUUCCUAGAUGAUGAUGAUGAUGAUGAUGAUUAUUAUUAUUAUUAUUUGAGACAGAGUCUCCCUCUGUCACCCAGGCUGGAGUGCAGUAGCUCAAUCUCGGCUCACUGCAACUUCCGCCUCCCAGGCUCAAGUGACUUCCCCAGCUGAGCCUCCCAAGCUGGAAACGUAGGCGCCACAACACCUUGUCUAAUUUUUGUAUUUUUUUGCAGAGACAAAAUUUCGCCAUGUUGCCCAGGCCAGUCUUGAACUCCUGGACUCAGCCAUCUACCUGCCUUGGCCUCCCGAAUGUUUCCUAGAUUACUAAUAAGGUUUGUUCAUUUAUUACCUGUUUUCAUUAAAUUAUCUGUUCAGGCUGGGCGCAAUGGCUCACGCCUGUAAUGCCAGCACUUUGGGAGGCCAAGGCAGGUGGAUCUCCUGAGGUCGGGAGUUUGAGACCAGCCUGGCCAACAUGGUGAAACCCUGUCUCUAAUAAAAAUACAAAAAUUAGCCAGGCGUGGUAGCCUGCACCUGUAAUCCCAGCUACUCAGGUGGGUGAGACAGGAGAAUCACUUGAACUUGGGAGGUGGAGGUUGCAGUGAGCUGAGAUUAUGCCACUGCAACUCCAGCCUGGGCACCACAGAUUGAGACUCAGUCUCAAACAAAAAUAAAUAAAUAAAUAAAUAAGUUAUCUGUUCAUAUUGUGCCUACUUUUAUCAGAGCUUACAGUUUUAUAUCUGUAUGAAGUGUUCUUAUAUUUGGGACAAUGAUUUUGCUAGCUUAUUUACAUUUAAAUUUUCUUUGUACUUUUACUUUACAUUCAAGUAUUUGAUGUUUAUAUUGAGUCAAAUCUGUCCAUCCUUUCCUUUGUGAUUUUUUUCCCAUUGCUGUAAUGCUUAGGGUAUAUUUUUAUAGAGCAAUAAUAAAUAUUUUAGUGUUAAUUAUA